rnacentral:rRNA from 1 species
GCGCCAGACUCCUACGGGAGGCAGCAGUGAGGAAUAUUGGUCAAUGGUCGGGAGACUGAACCAGCCAAGCCGCGUGAGGGAGGAAGGUACAGAGUAUCGUAAACCUCUUUUGUCAGGGAACAAAGACUGGGACGCGUCCCCGGAUGAGUGUACCUGAAGAAAAAGCAUCGGCUAACUCCGUGCCAGCAGCCGCGGUAAUACGGAGGAUGCGAGCGUUAUCCGGAUUUAUUGGGUUUAAAGGGUGCGUAGGCGGUCCGUUAAGUCAGCGGUAAAAUUGCGGGCCCCAACCCCGUCGAGCCGUUGAAACUGGCAGACUUGAGUUGGCGAGAAGUACGCGGAAUGCGCGGUGUAGCGGUGAAAUGCAUAGAUAUCACGCAGAACCCCGAUUGCGAAGGCAGCAUACCGGUGCACAACUGACGCUCAGGCACGAAAGCGUGGGUAUCGAACAGGAUUAGAUACCCUAGUA